UGUGCUCUACGAUCCUCCACGGCUGCCAAAUCCGAUCACUGAAAGGAGGUUUCGAUCUUCCACCGUAUGCUCCUCUCUUGGAGUGGCGUCUGUGAAAUUUAGAGAAACAAGAAAAAAAUCGAAACGGAGCGUAAUGGCAGAAGCGACGGUGAACGAUUCGGCCCAGUACGGUGUUCCGACACAGGAAAUAGCAUAAUCCGAUCGGAAGAAACCACCGGAGAGAUUUUCGGUCGAACCUAUUUUCGCGAUGAAUCAGGUCAUUGGAGAGAGUGAGAGAAAGAGUGAGACAGAGAGAGAGAGAGAUCAUGCAGAGAAAGAAGAAGAAGAAGAGGAGAUGGCUGAGGCAAGAUUACUUGACAUGUCGCGGGAGUUCCAUUCAUAUCAAAACACAGGGAGGACAACCUUUACGUCCGUCUCGACCUGCGCAGUGAGUUUGCUCAUGGAGUCCCACUUUGAGCCACGACAUUGCUUGGGAUGCUGAGUUUGGUGUUCUCACGGUCCGUGUCGUAUGUGAAAAUUUACUUUCUAAUCAAGCAAACAUCACAAUAGAAAAUGGGUUUGAGGUGAAAUGGCUAAUGACUAGCAAAAAAGUUUAACUGCUUAUGUGUGAGUUCUGUAGUUUGUAUCUGUGUUGUCUGCUUUGUGUAUUGUUUACCUGUAGGAGUUCGAAGAAUGACCGAAGAAAGUGAUGCAUGUAGAAGAAGCUAAAGAGAUGGCUGUUGAAGAAGCUAAGGGGUUGAAUCAGGUUCUUAAUAAUCCUAAAAUGUGUACACAGUUAAAACCCAAACACUUAUACUUCUCUGGUUCACAAAGUUAUUUAUUUUCAUUGUUAAUUAAAAGUUGAAGUUCACUGAUCUUUUUGCUUGUAAAGAAGUUAAGUGAUAGCUUUAAUAUAGCUAUGGAUGUUGCAGUGGGCAUGAUCAAUGGUUACUGAACAAAGAAGACACUGAAAGACAACGUUGGGCAUUGCCAGAAUGUGAAGUUUAUGAGUUUGUGAAUAAUUGACAGUUUAAAUGCUCUAUAAAUCACUUUUAAAUGAUAAUAAAUAAUAUGAGAAACGUCUAUAAAUCAUUUGUAAAUAUUUAAAUAUCAUUUAUAAAUAAUUUAUAAUGGUUUGUAAACCAUAUAUAAGGGUUUAUAAUUUUUUUAUAAAAUUUUAUAAAUCA